GUGGGGAAUAUUGGGCAAUGGGCGAAAGCCUGACCCAGCAACGCCGCGUGAAGGAAGAAGGCCCUCGGGUUGUAAACUUCUUUUAAGAGGGACGAAAGAAAUGACGGUACCUCUUGAAUAAGCCACGGCUAACUACGUGCCAGCAGCCGCGGUAAUACGUAGGUGGCGAGCGUUAUCCGGAUUUACUGGGUGUAAAGGGCGUGUAGGCGGGAGUGCAAGUCAGAUGUGAAAAUUAUGGGCUCAACCCAUAACCUGCAUUUGAAACUGUUCUUUUUGGGUGAUGGAGAGGCAGGCGGAAUUCCGUGUGUAGCGGUGAAAUGCGUAGAUAUACGGAGGAACACCAGGGGCGAAGGCGGCCUGCUGGACAUUAACUGACGCUGAGGCGCGAAAGCGUGGGGAGCAAACAGGAUUAGAAACCCUAGUAGUCC
rnacentral:rRNA from 1 species